rnacentral:rRNA from 14 species
AGGAUUCCCCUAGUAACGGCGAGUGAAGCGGGAUGAGCUCAAAUUUAAAAUCUGGCAGUCUAAGAUUGUCCGAGUUGUAGUCUAGAGAAGCGUUUUCCGCGUAGGCCUGUGUACAAGUCCCUUGGAAUAGGGCGUCAUAGAGGGUGAGAAUCCCGUCCUUGACACAGAUCAUCUAUGCUCUGCGAUGCGCUCUCGAAGAGUCGAGUUGUUUGGGAAUGCAGCUCAAAAUGGGUGGUAAAUUCCAUCUAAAGCUAAAUAUUGGCGAGAGACCGAUCGCGAACAAGUACCG